UNGUGCGAUUUUCAUGCCAGCGUGUGUCCU
rnacentral:piRNA from 1 species